UACGUAGGGUGCGAGCGUUGUCCGGAUUUAUUGGGCGUAAAGAGCUCGUAGGCGGUUUGUCGCGUCGGCCGUGAAAUCUCCACGCUUAACGUGGAGCGUGCGGUCGAUACGGGCAGACUUGAGUUCGGUAGGGGAGACUGGAAUUCCUGGUGUAGCGGUGAAAUGCGCAGAUAUCAGGAGGAACACCGGUGGCGAAGGCGGUGGUCUGGGCCGGCACUGACGCUGAGGAGCGAAAGCGUGGGUAGCAAACAGG
rnacentral:rRNA from 1 species